CUCUUACAAAAGAAUGUAACUGUCACGUGUCAUAAUUAGUUAAUAAAAACAUCAUUUCAUCUUUCAUGGAAUUGACAUCCAAUCAGAACAUGACAUAUGACAGUCAUAAGAA
rfam:Glycine soja cultivar W05 scaffold36_69, whole genome shotgun sequence.